rnacentral:rRNA from 1 species
AGGAUGAACGCUGGCGGCGUGCCUAACACAUGCAAGUCGAACGCGCUCCAUUCGGUAGCAAUACUGAUGAAGAGUGAGUGGCGAACGGGUGAGUAACACAUGAGCAACCUGCCCCGAAGACCGGGACAACACCGGGAAACCGGUGCUAAUACCGGAUAUCCCUAUCGGACCGCAUGAUCUGAUAAGGAAAUGGAUUCCGCUUCGGGAGGGGCUCGUGGCCUAUCAGCUAGUUGGUGAGGUAAUAGCUCACCAAGGCAUCGACGGGUAGCUGGUCUGAGAGGACGAUCAGCCACACUGGGACUGAGACACGGCCCAGACUCCUACGGGAGGCAGCAGUGGGGAAUCUUGCGCAAUGGGCGAAAGCCUGACGCAGCAACGCCGCGUGGAGGACGAAUGCUUUCUGAGUUGUAAACUCCUUUCAGCAGGGACGAUUGUGACGGUACCUGCAGAAGAAGCACCGGCCAACUACGCG